rnacentral:rRNA from 1 species
UCGAGCAGGGUCGAAAGACGGACUUAGUGAUCCGGUGGUUCCGCAUGGAAGGGCCAUCGCUCAACGGAUAAAAGCUACCCCGGGGAUAACAGGCUUAUCUCCCCCAAGAGUUCACAUCGACGGGGAGGUUUGGCACCUCGAUGUCGGCUCAUCGCAUCCUGGGGCUGUAGUCGGUCCCAAGGGUUGGGCUGUUCGCCCAUUAAAGCGGUACGCGAGCUGGGUUCAGAACGUCGUGAGACAGUUCGGUCCCUAUCCGUCGUGGGCGUAGGAAAUUUGAGAGGAGCUGUCCUUAGUACGAGAGGACCGGGAUGGACAUACCUCUGGUGUACCAGUUGUCGUGCCAACGGCAUAGCUGGGUAGCUAUGUGUGGACGGGAUAAGUGCUGAAAGCAUCUAAGCAUGAAGCCCCCCUCAAGAUGAGAUUUCCCAACUUCGGUUAUAAGAUCCCUCAAAGAUGAUGAG